GAUGAAGAACGUAGCGAAAUGCGAUAAGUAAUGCGAAUUGCAGAAUUUCCGUGAGUCAUCGAAUCUUUGAACGCACAUUGCGCCCACCGGUAUUCCGGUGGGCAUGCCUGUUCGAGCGUCAUUAUCCUCCCUCAAACCCCGGGUUUGGUGUUGGACCCAAGUUGUGUGAACAACUGGUCUUAAAGACAAUGACGGCGUCCGUGGGACCCUCGGUGCAACGAGCUUUUAGGAGCACGCAUCGAGUUGCAAGGACCUUCCGGGCCGGUCUCCUUUACUAUUUUACAAGGUUGAUCUCGGAUCAGGUAGGAAUACCCGCUGAACUUAAGCAUAUCAAUAAGCGGAGGA
rnacentral:misc_RNA from 1 species